rnacentral:rRNA from 1 species
GCCGAACGCUGGCGGCGUGCCUAAUACAUGCAAGUCGAACGCAGUGGGGACGGGUGAGUAACACGUGGGUAACCUCCCAUCAGAGGGGAUAACACUUGGAAACAGGUGCUAAACCGAUCCUGAUGGAUGGACCCGCGGUUCAUUAGCUAGUUGGUGCGGUAACGGCUCACCAAGGCCACGAGGCAUAGGCGACAUUAGAGGGUGACCGGUCACACUGGGAAUGAGACACGGCCCAGACUCCGACGGGAGGCAGCAGUAGGGAAUCUUCGGCAAUGGACGAAAGUCUGACUGAGCAACUCCGCGUGAGUGAAGAAGGUUUUCGGAUCGUAAAACUCUUUUGUUAGAGAAGCGGUAGCUAACCAGAAAGCCACGGCUAACUACGUGCCAGCAGCCGCGGGAAUUC